rnacentral:rRNA from 1 species
CCUACGGGGGGCAGCAGUGGGGAAUAUUGCACAAUGGGCGCAAGCCUGAUGCAGCGACGCCGCGUGCGGGAUGGAGGCCUUCGGGUUGUAAACCGCUUUUGUUCAAGGGCAAGGCACGGUCUUUGGCCGUGUUGAGUGGAUUGUUCGAAUAAGCACCGGCUAACUACGUGCCAGCAGCCGCGGUAAUACGUAGGGUGCAAGCGUUAUCCGGAUUUAUUGGGUUUAAAGGGUGCGUAGGCGGGUUAUCAAGUCAGCGGUAAAAUCGUGGAGCUCAACUCCAUCCAGCCGUUGAAACUGAUGAUCUUGAGUGGGCGAGAAGUAUGCGGAAUGCGUGGUGUAGCGGUGAAAUGCAUAGAUAUCACGCAGAACUCCGAUUGCGAAGGCAGCAUACCGGCGCCCGACUGACGCUGAAGCACGAAAGCGUGGGUAUCGAACAGGAUUAGAUACCCCAGUAGUC